rnacentral:rRNA from 1 species
UACAGAGGGUGCAAGCGUUGUUCGGAAUUAUUGGGCGUAAAGGGAGUGUAGGCGGCUAGGAAAGUCUUCUGUGAAAUCUACGGGCUCAGCCUGUAACGUGCAGAGGAAACUAUCUGGCUAGAGUGUCGGAGAGGAUAGGGGAAUACCCAGUGUAGAGGUGAAAUUCGUAGAGAUUGGGUGGAACACCAGUGGCGAAGGCGCCUGUCUGGCUGACAACUGACGCUGAGGCACGAAAGCGUGGGGAGCAAACAGG